rnacentral:rRNA from 16 species
UCUAUAUGAUGUGAUGCAUAUAUAGUCUAACCUGCUCACUGACAAAUAUUGUUUAACAGCCGCGGUAUCUUGACCGUGCAAAGGUAGCAUAAUCAUUAGUUUUUUAAUUGUAAACUUGUAUGAAAGGUUGAACAAAGGAAAAGCUGUAUCUAUUAUAAAAUUUGAAUUUGACUUUUGAGUGAAAAGGCUUAAAUGUUUUAGAAAGACGAUAAGACCCUAUAAAGCUUUAUAGGGAAAUAAUAGUUUAAUAAAAUUUAUAUAAAAUUAUAGUGUUAUUGUUUUAUUUUAUUGGGGCGAUAUAAAUAUAAGUUAUUUAACUGUUUAAAAAAUAUACAUUUCUAUAUGUUUUAAGUUGUAAUUGAUCCUUUUUAAAGAUUUAAAGUCUAAGUUACUUUAGGGAUAACAGCGUUAUUUUUCUUGAGAGUUCUUAUCGAAAGAGAAGUUUGCGACCUCGAUGUUGAAUUAAAUUAUCUAUGUAAUGGAGG